rnacentral:rRNA from 1 species
GAGGGUUAGACUGUCUCCUUUUUCAAAUCAGUGAAAUUAAUCUCCCCGUGAAGAAGCGGGGAUACUCUUAUAAGACGAGAAGACCCCAUGGAGCUUCAAACCCAACUACACCCCUAACUCUUAUAGCCUCACAACCCCCCUAGGCGCCGUGUGCUUGGUUUUAGGUUGGGGCGACCGCGGAGUACAAUAAAACCUCCACAAUGAAUGGGACCACCCCCUUAUCUGAGGGCCACACCCCUAAGAAUUAGAACACUAACAUAAAAUGAUCCAUUACUUGAUCAAUGAACCAAGUUACCCUGGGGAUAACAGCGCAAUCCAUUUCAAGAGCCCCUAUCGACAAAUGGGUUUACGACCUC